GACGAACCGUGCGAACGUUGUUCGGAAUCACUGGGCUUAAAGGGCGCGUAGGCGGAGGGUGUAGUCGGUGGUGAAAUCCUCCAGCUUAACUGGAGAAUGGCCUCCGAUACUGACUCUCUCGAGGGAGGUAGGGGCAUGUGGAACUCAGGGUGGAGCGGUGAAAUGCGUAGAUAUCCUGAGGAACGCCGGUGGCGAAAGCGACGUGCUGGACCUCUUCUGACGCUGAGGCGCGAAAGCCAGGGGAGCAAACGGGAUUAGAUACCCCGGUAGUCCUGGCCCUAAACGUUGGGUACUAGAUUGUGGACUUAACAUGGGUUCACAGUCGAAGCAAAAGUGUUAAGUACCCCGCCUGGGGAGUAUGGUCGCAAGGCUGAA
rnacentral:rRNA from 1 species